GCACAGCUUUAGGUUACCAGCAACAAUGCAUGAUGACUCAGAUUUCUUCACACACUCUUCAACGUAUCUUAUUUUAUGAUUUUCAAUAGAAUCGAUCCAACAGGGGAGAGGCAGUGUGAGGACUGGGAUGUUGUUUCCGGUGACGGCUGGGAAGAGGAGGAGGCAGCCAGCAGAUUGAGACAAUGAAAAGAUUCUGACGGAUGGAAUGUUGCUGUUUCUCCAUUUUUGAAGCCUUUCUUCUUUUUGAUCAUGUUUAUCCUUUAAAAUUUCACAGCGUGGUCAAAGUAGGCCCUGAAAUAUUUAGAGUCCAAGUCUGGAGCAAAGUUGCACCCUGGAUCUACAAGUGUGAUUUCCCUCAUUGUCCACUUCCCUCAACCAGGCAGGAGGAAGAGUAAACACGUCACCACUCGGCAGCAUCAUUCCAUGCUGUGGGCUCCUAGAUUUGACUUCCAAGAAUAUUACCUGCCACUCAAAUAAUAAA